AUUGAACGCUGGCGGCAGGCCUAACACAUGCAAGUCGAGCGAGCGGCGGACGGGUGAGUAAUGCCUGGGAAUUGCCCAGUCGAGGGGGAUAACAGUUGGAAACGACUGCUAAUACCGCAUACGAUUGGAUUGCCCAGGUGGGAUUAGCUAGUUGGUGAGGUAAUGUCUCACCAAGGCGACGAUCCCUAGCUGGUCUGAGAGGAUGAUAAGCCACACUUGAACUGAGACCGUGUCCAGACUCCUCCGGACGGCAGCAGUGGGGAAUAUUGCACGAUUGGGGAAACCCUGAUGCAGCCAUGCCGGGUGUGUGAAGAAGGCCUCCGGGUUGUAAAGCACUUUCAUCGAGGAGUCGUUACUCGCAGAAGAAGCACCGGCUAACUCCGUGCCAGCAGCCGCGGUAAUAC
rnacentral:rRNA from 1 species